rnacentral:tRNA from 1 species
GGGAAUAUGGUGCAGUAGUUAGCAUUUCUGAUUGUGGUUUAUAGCAUUAGCCCUCAGGAGACCUGGGUGCAAAUCCCAGUAUUCCCA